rnacentral:tRNA from 1 species
AAGACACUGGUAUAAAGGAAAAUACACUGCUUUGUCAGGGCAGAGUUGUGGGUUAAACCCCCGCGUGUCUUA